UUUUAUCCCUUUCAUCAUUCCCACCCACCCCCAAAUUAAUGCACCUUAACCCUAAAUCUACGCCUUAUUUCACCCCACCCAACCCAAUUGUCUGUCUUCCUCGCCUUAUUUCUUCCAAAUCACAAUCUUUUUGUUCAGGCUGUCUAGAUCGUUGACCCACUACUACCAGAUCCCUCAAUGGCGACUUCUUGACAUUUGUAGAAAUUCGAUUUGGUCUUGUGGAAGGAUUGUAAUUUGGGAGGUUAUAGUUGCAUCUGCACGUCAUUUUAGUAUAUCACAAUUCACAAUUUUUAGUUGUCUUUUUUUUUAAUUGUUUAUUAUAAGAUGAUGGAUAAUAUCAUUAUUAUUAUUUAUAUGCACAGGUGGUUGUUUCUGAAAUAAUAGUUCUAGUUGUUGCUCUUGAUCUGAGGAGGUAUGAAGUUAAAUAAACUUAUUUUAUAUAUUAUUUUUGUUGUUACUUCCUGCAUCAAGAGAUUUUAACAGGGGAUUGCUUUUGUGGACAUUGUGGCUACAACAAGUCUAUGUGUCAAAAUUUGACGAUUCACAUAUGGUUUUGUAGAUCAUAUUCUGGUUCUACGAUCGAUGCUUGGAUGGUGUGUUAAAAUGAUUGGUUUUUUCAUGUCAACAUUUUUGGGCCAAAAGUUGGAACUCUUAGAUUUCAUCACAACAACCACAAACUUGCAAGAUGGUUCAAGAUACAGCUCUAGCUUUAUUAAGAAAUGAAUUCAAGAUGUUAAAGUUUUACACAUUUAUUCCUUUAUAAUUGUAGAACUUGUUUAUACUUUAAAGAAAUAUAUACCUUUGUGUUUAUAAAAUUUGUUGGUUUUAUUUGUGU
rnacentral:lncRNA from 1 species